ACAUGCCUACAACAUAGUGUUAAUGCAUAAAACCCAUUAGAACUCUGCAGUUAACCGUGCUCAAGCUAGAGUAGUAUUGGGAUGGAUGACCGCCUGGGAAGUCCUAGUAUUUUACAUGCC
rnacentral:rRNA from 1 species